AUUUUGGACCAGAGAGUCAGCAGGAAAGGAGAAAACAAAUGGGUAAGAUGUCCGACUACUGGCCUGUUUCAGAUGCAAAUGUGAAGAGUAUCCCAGGUUACAGAGCGAGCGAACGCUCAGAAAAGAGAUUCACGAGAAAGGACAAGGACCUAUUCUUAAUGUUCUGGAACUCUUUUCUAAGCUGGAUGGGCUCAAGCCAGAGGCCCUUGUAGUGAUGAGGGAUCAUUGAGGAAGACGGACCAGAAAGAUCCUAUGAGCCAGAGGUAGUGGAUAACUACAGUGAAACAGUGUUUUCUGGACAAUGCAGGGCAGUUGCAGAUGUGAACUAAGAAUGUGAACUCACAGUGGAUCCCCCUGCAUUCAGAAGACAGCCAAGAUCAAGCCAGAGAAAAAUGCAUCAGAGAAUUUCUCAUGGUAUUCUGGCUGCUUCUUACCACUGCCAUGGACUUGUGUGGAUUUGGUGGAGCCUUGUGGUUUCUUCUGGAUUGAGCCACUGCUGCUGAUUCCUGCUUGGUGUUUUGGAUUGGACUGCUGAUAUCCUAACAACAAAGAUCGGAAUUACCCUAAAGAACUACUUCUAAACAGGUCCACAUCCCCAGUUUCCUAUUAACCUUUCUUUCCCCCUACCUCUGGUAGGUGGGUUAAAAGGAAAGUUGAUGUAGUUAAGAACCCUUAUUAAAGCAGGUUUUGAAAAAUCUAAGCCUACACUAGAUAGACCCAGAAAAAGCGACUUAGGGAGAAAGGGGGUUAUUUGGCUCACAAUUCCAGAUCAUGGUUCAUCAUUGCAGAGAAGUCAGGAAGAAAGGACUUGAAACAGCUGCUAACAUCACAUUUACAUCUAAGAGCAGAAAGCAAUGUGUAUACACUAGUGAUAAGAUCUCUCUCUCUCUCUCUCUCUCUCCCCCAUAUAAUCCAGGAUUCACUGCCUAGAGAAUGGUGACACAAGGGAGCCAGCCUUCCCUCUCAUCAAACAAUCCAUAGGCAUGCCCACAGGCCAGCCUAUUCUAGAUAAUUCCUUAUUGAGGCUUCUGCCCAGGUAAUUCUAGAAUCUUUCAAGUUGUCAGUUAAAAAUGAAGACUCACACCAGCUGAGUAUGGGUAGCCUCACCUUCCUGCCUCCACACCUUUCCUCCCUUGAGAGAUUAGCCUGUCAAGCUGCAGUCAGGUGUUUGGCCACAGCAAUAAGAAAAGUAGCUAAUGUGUUUAUAAUAUGUAUAGUUCCUAAAAGGAGUGUAUGAGAAUUUAUGAGAAAAUAUAUAGAUUAUAAUAGAAGAUCAAUCUAGUAUUGUAAGUGUUAAUUGUAAAGUUAAAGAAAUCACAUAUACUACACUUUAAAUAUCAGCAAAAUCUUAUUGUUGAGAAAGCUUUUGUAAGAUAUACAAAAUUAGAUAGUACUUCAUAGUUUCCCAUGUUCACUAGACUAUAGCAUAAUUUUGCUUCCGCAAUAUAGGAGGAGUCUAGUGGAUAGUGCUUGUGUUGCAUGCUGCUUUUUAUCUGGACAUGGUAUAAUUAUAUCUUGGGUUAUCCCUAGUAGCCAUGGCAACCAGAGCAGUACCAUGGCAGCUGGGUCUAUGAUAAUGGUGACAGAACUAUUGUCUCCUUAGAGAGGGGAGAAAGAAAGAGUUAGAAGACCCUCACUUGAGAGCCCUCCCCCAGAUGCAAGUGAUCUUGAGAGAUGCUGGAGUAUAUGGGAAUUGAAAGGUUAACUGAAGUCUGGACUCUAUGAGAUCACCAUCCAUGGUGGAGAGGGGAUUGGUGAGGCUGCAGCUUGUCGGGGGGGUCACUCAUACUCCUCUACAUAACCCCUCCCCCGUGCUCUGUAACAAGCCCAAGAAGCGCAUCAGUCUCACCUUUGACCUGUCAUGGAUGAGGCUAUGGAUUCUGUUGUGGAUGUCCAUCUAGAGUGAUUACACAUUUGGUUUCCCCAGUAGAAGUUACCAUAACCCUGCUCUUUUAGGAGUAACAUGGAAGUCACUGAACCUGCCCAGUGGUCUUCCAGUCUUUGAAGUUUAAGGAAGGUUGCAGAUACAACCCCCAUAGUGACUUGUUCUUUCAUUCUAGACACCACCAUGGAGACAUCCAUUGCUGUUGUUAAAGUCAGAGCUCCUGAUACGCAUACAGCCCUGCCUUAGCUGAGACCUUAGGGGUUUACACUUCUAACCAGCACUUGCUGCUCAAUGCCAUCUUGUCUCUCAGCCCUAGAGUCUUGAAACUAUCCUUUCUUUGCACUCAAUGUCAGAGCAUAGAUGCCCAGCCACUCUCUGUUCCAUGUGCAUUGCUGUCUUCUCCCAAAGCUUGGUGCCAUUCACUCAGAGGCUUAAAGUACAGAGUAACUGCCAACUCUCCCAAAGGCAGCAACUUCAAAACUCAGACUUUAAAAGACCUUUUGUGCUUUCUAUAAGGAAAUAAAGAGAGGGAGGUAUGCCAUUUCCAAGGGUACCUCCAACAACCACACCUGCAGUCACAACACAGAAUAGCAGUUUUUAUGUAAGUAUCACCUGAAUAAAAUAAGAUCCAAGCAGUGAAGGAAGAGGGCUAUUAAGCACCGGCUCCAAGUAGCCCCAAGCUUCACCAUUGCUCUUGGAAUAGUUCUAACCCGUCUAACCAUGGCCUAAAUCAGCUCUCAUAAAAUGGCCUUGUGCUUUGCAGGCUGCGUGUGGGGUUAGGUUGUUUUUGUUUUGAUUUGUUUGUUUUAGAAUUCUUCUUUUUUUUUGGGGGGGGUAGGGUGGGACUUUACUUGUUGUUCUAGACUUUUCCUUUUUUCUUCUAUUAGUGUCAAACCCAAGGGUGUAUGCUCAGUUGGCAAAGUUGGCAAGGAGCAAUUAUUGACCCCUAGUGUCAAGUGGCUACAGCCCAAAGGGUUCAUGGGGAAAGCUCUGAAAGAGUUCUUGAAGGGGUGAGUGUUUGCAUACUUGGAGAAGGAGGGAGUCCAGAAUGGCUAGAAUAAUAAAUAGCCCAUAUAUAGAAAGCGACUAAGAACUGAAGGAAGAUUGAAACCCAAAAACCCAGAGAUAAAAGCCAAUGAUAAGUCUCAGUGGGUGAGACUCAAAUUAAAUCCAAAGAACUCACGUAGUGGAAGAAGAGAACCAAGAACUUAGAGACUAGCCCAGUCUGGAAGUGGAAUUUUAAAUAUAACAGCUAAGUGGUGACAGCUAACUGGGAUUCAAAUGUGCCAAGAUCCUCAGGCAGAGCUGGCUCAGAGCACUGGGGCUGAGAAGACUUCAAUCCAGGCAGUGUGCAUCAUUGACAAACAUCAACUACACUGGCCUGUUUCUGCCAGUCUUCACAUGGGAUGGUGUUCUCACAUUACUGUAGAAUAUAGUGUGGAUGUUGACUAUUCCAUCACAGUAACUAUAGCAUAAGACAGCAUGUAGACCUCUCUUAACAGAUAAUAUGAAGAAAUCCAAUAUUAUGAAGUCUAUCUAUGAAUAAGACUAUUCAUAUACAGAUG
ensembl:lincRNA